rnacentral:rRNA from 1 species
UACGUAGGGUGCGAGCGUUAAUCGGAAUUACUGGGCGUAAAGUGUGCGCAGGUGGCCGCGCAAGUCGAGUGUGAAAUCCCCGAGCUUAACUUGGGAAUUGCGCUCGAAACUACGUGGCUCGAGUGCGGCAGAGGAGACUGGAAUUCCUGGUGUAGCAGUGAAAUGCGUAGAUAUCAGGAGGAACACCGGUGGCGAAGGCGGGUCUCUGGGCAUCUCCUGACGCUGAGGCGCGAAAGCGUGGGGAGCAAACGGGG